rnacentral:rRNA from 1 species
UACGGGGGGGGGCAAGCGUUGUUCGGAAUUACUGGGCGUAAAGGGCUCGUAGGCGGCCCACUAAGUCCGACGUGAAAUCCCCAGGCUUAACUUGGGAACUGCGUCGGAUACUGGUGGGCUUGAAUCCGGGAGAGGGAUGCGGAAUUCCACGUGUAGCAGUGAAAUGCGUAGAUAUGUGGAGGAAUACCGAUGGCGAAGGCAGCCCCCUGGGAUAACACUGACGCUCAUGCACGAAAGCGUGGGGAGCAAACAGG